rnacentral:rRNA from 1 species
AACGAACGCUGGCGGCAUGCCUAACACAUGCAAGGCGAACGAGACCGUCGGGUCUAGUGGCGCACGGGUGCGUAACGCGUUGGAACCUGCCCUUAGGUUCGGAAUAACUCCCCGAAAGGGGUCCUAAUACCGGAUAAUGUCUUCGGACCAAAGAUUUAUCGCCUUUGGUUGGGCCCGCGUUGGAUUAGCUAGUUGGUAGGGUAAAAGCCUACCAAGGCGACGAUCCAUAGCUGGUCUGAGAGGAUGAUCAGCCACACUGGGACUGAGACACGGCCCAGACUCGUACGGGAGGCAGCAGUGGGGGAUAUUGGACACUGGGCGAAAGCCUGACCCAGCAAUGUCGGGUGAGUGCUGAAGGCCUUAGGGUUGUAAAGCUCUUUUACCCGGGAUGAUAAUGACAGUACCGGGAGAAUAAGCUACGGCUAACUACGUG